rnacentral:rRNA from 1 species
AUACGGAAGGUCCGGGCGUUAUCCGGAUUUAUUGGGUUUAAAGGGUGCGUAGGCGGUUUGCUAAGCGGGAGGUGAAAUGCCGGCGCUCAACGUCGGAAGUGCCUCCCGAACUGGUGGACUUGAAUGACUCUGCCGUGGGAGGACUGUGUAGGGUAGCGGUGAAAUGCUUAGAGAUUAUACAGAACACCGAUUGCGAAGGCAUCUCACGAAGGGUUGAUUGACGCUGAGGCACGAAAGCGUGGGGAUCAAACAGGAUUAGAUACCCUGGUAGUCCACGCAGUAAACGAUGAUGGCUAACCGCUGGAUCCAUCGGUUCAGUGGCCAAGCGAAAGCGAUAAGCCAUCCACCUGGGGAGUACGACCGCAAGGUUGAAACUCAAAGGAAUUGGCGGGG